UACGUAGGGGGGCAAGCGUUGUUCGGAAUUACUGGGCGUAAAGCGCGCGUAGGCGGUCUGAAAAAGUCAGAUGUGAAAAGCCCCCGGGCUCAACUUGGGAACUGCAUUUGAUACUGUCAGACUAGAGUACAGAAGAGGUGACUGGAAUUCCCAGUGUAGCGGUGAAAUGCGUAGAUAUUGGGAGGAACACCAGAUGCGAAGGCGGGUCACUGGGCUGAUACUGACGCUGAAGUGCGAAAGCGUGGGGGAGCAAACAGG
rnacentral:rRNA from 1 species